rnacentral:rRNA from 1 species
AGAGUUUGAUCCUGGCUCAGGACGAACGCUGGCGGCGUGCCUAAUACAUGCAAGUCGAGCGAGCGGAACUAACAGAUUUACUUCGGUAAUGACGUUAGGAAAGCGAGCGGCGGAUGGGUGAGUAACACGUGGGGAACCUGCCCCAUAGUCUGGGAUACCACUUGGAAACAGGUGCUAAUACCGGAUAAGAAAGCAGAUCGCAUGAUCGGCUUUUAAAAGGCGGCGUAAGCUGUCGCUAUGGGAUGGCCCCGCGGUGCAUUAGCUAGUUGGUAAGGUAAAGGCUUACCAAGGCGAUGAUGCAUAGCCGAGUUGAGAGACUGAUCGGCCACAUUGGGACUGAGACACGGCCCAAACUCCUACGGGAGGCAGCAGUAGGGAAUCUUCCACAAUGGACGCAAGUCUGAUGGAGCAACGCCGCGUGAGUGAAGAAGGUUUUCGGAUCGUAAAGCUCUGUUGUUGGUGAAGAAGGAUAGAGGUAGUAACUGGCCUUUAUUUGACGGUAAUCAACCAGAAAGUCACGGCUAACUACGUGCCAGCAGCCGCGGUAAUACGUAGGUGGCAAGCGUUGUCCGGAUUUAUUGGGCGUAAAGCGAGCGCAGGCGGAAGAAUAAGUCUGAUGUGAAAGCCCUCGGCUUAACCGAGGAACUGCAUCGGAAACUGUUUUUCUUGAGUGCAGAAGAGGAGAGUGGAACUCCAUGUGUAGCGGUGGAAUGCGUAGAUAUAUGGAAGAACACCAGUGGCGAAGGCGGCUCUCUGGUCUGCAACUGACGCUGAGGCUCGAAAGCAUGGGUAGCGAACAGGAUUAGAUACCCUGGUAGUCC